rnacentral:rRNA from 1 species
UACGUAGGGUGCAAGCGUUAAUCGGAAUUACUGGGCGUAAAGCGUACGUAGGCGGCUUUGUAAGUUAGAGGUGAAAGCCUGAUGCUCAACAUCAGAAUUGCCUUUAAGACUGCAUCGCUUGAAUCGUGGAGAGGUAAGUGGAAUUCCGAGUGUAGAGGUGAAAUUCGUAGAUAUUCGCAAGAACACCAGUGGCGAAGGCGGCUCACUGGCCCGGUACUGACGCUGAGGUGCGAAAGCGUGGGGAGCAAACAGG